rnacentral:rRNA from 1 species
CGGACGGGUGAGUAACGCGUGAGAAUCUGCCCUCAGGAGGGGGAUAACGGCUGGAAACGGCCGCUAAUACCCCAUAUGCCGAGAGGUGAAAUGAAUUUCGCCUGAGGAUGAGCUCGCGUCUGAUUAGCUAGUUGGUAGGGUAAAGGCCUACCAAGGCUUCGAUCAGUAGCUGGUCUGAGAGGAUGAUCAGCCACACUGGGACUGAGACACGGCCCAGACUCCUACGGGAGGCAGCAGUGGGGAAUUUUCCGCAAUGGGCGAAAGCCUGACGGAGCAACGCCGCGUGAGGGAUGAAGGCCUCUGGGCUGUAAACCUCUUUUAUCAAGGAAGAAGAUCUGACGGUACUUGAUGAAUAAGCCACGGCUAAUUCCGUGCCAGCAGCCGCGGUAAUACGGGAGUGGCAAGCGUUAUCCGGAAUUAUUGGGCGUAAAGCGUCCGCAGGCGGUCUUACAAGUCUGUCGUUAAAGCGUGGAGCUUAACUCCAUUUCAGCGAUGGAAACUGUAAGACUAGAGUGUGGUAGGGGCAGAGGGAAUUCCCGGUGUAGCGGUGAAAUGCGUACAUAUCGGGAAGAACACCCGUGGCGAAGGCGCUCUGCUGGGCCAUAAUUGACCCUCAUGGACGAAAGCCAGGGGAGCGAAAGGGAUUAGAUACCCCUGUAGUC